CUGCGAUUCUCGCCACGAGAUCAAGACGCCGGACCAUUUUAGGGAGCCCUGCUGUGCACCGGACGCCACUGCCUGCUCCUUCCUCUUUGGUCCUGCUGCCAGCUGCCACUCCUCGGCUGCUGGUGCUGCCCCUGGUCCUGGUUCCUGUGCUUAAAGCUCCUCUGCUUGACGUACCCGCCACCGUCGCCGCCGUUCCAUUUCCUUCCAGUCCCAGAAGUGUAGCUCGGAUCCUCCAGCUGCUGGUACCUAUUGUCGGAUGGUCUGCUAUGAAAGUUGCUGCUCCAGCUGUUGGGUGUGUAGCGGUUCUUGUUACAGCCACGCCAGCUUGGCUUCUCCAGAGGAACACCCCGGCUGGUGUUGCUAUCAUUGCCCCAUUUACUGAAAGAUUGGCCUCUCCAAACCGCCUCAGGUGUUGCUACAUUGGCCUGGCCGCCCCAAGUCGUGUUGGAUGCGAGAUUGGCCUCGGAGUCCCACUUACUGACUUCAGCUGGCUUUUCUACGAAGGCGUCCCAGUUUCCAGACCCGUUCUGGGUGCACUUGUUGUCGGCCCCAGCAUUGGUCCACCCUUUGGCUGAGGCAGGAUUAUCAUCCGACUCGAACGGUAGCCCUACGCUAUCCAGAUCAGCUACCAACUCCGGGUCGACUUCGCAUUGGUGGUCGACCUUGUCGAUGUACAGAUCCG
rnacentral:misc_RNA from 1 species